ACUAAAGGUUUUUUAAAAUUUACUUUAAUUCACGUUUGAGUAUUUUGCUUGCAUGUAUGUGGGUGCACCAGGCAGACAGUGUGAACCCAGGUCCUUUGCAAGAACAUCGGGUGCUCUUAACAGCUGAGCCAUCUCUCUAGCCCACCUUUGAGCAACUGUGAAAGGCAGACUGCAAGGCCGGACCAGGGGAAAGCAACCCAGCCUCAGACCUAUGUUUCCAAUUGCACAUUCUUCUUUCCCUCGCUCCCUCGCUCCCUCGCUCCCUCGCUCCCUCUCUUCUUCCCUUCCCCUUCCCUCCCUCCAUACCCCUCCCUCCCUCUCUUCUUCUCUCUUUUCAUUUCUCUCCUUGUUUUUUUCUUUCUUUUGUACUGAGAUUAAACCCACAGCCUUGCUCAUGUUACACACUCUUCUCUGAGCUCCCCUCAGCCCUCUCUUGUUUUAUUUUUAUUUCUUAUUUUGACAUAGGAUCUUACUACGGUAGCCUGACGGGGUCUUAAACUCACUCUGUUGCUUAGGCUUUCAACCUGUAAUCCUCCUGCCUCAGCCUUGUGAGUGGCUGGGAUUGCAGGCUUCCUCGUGUUCCUUUCAAGCAGCAACGAGCACAUAUCAAAUCCCUUUCUAAGGCUGGAUUUCUGCUGUUAGUUCUUCUUGUGCUCGAAAUAGUUACAGGAUUGGUCUCUCCCAGCCCUUUCCUGAUAAGUAAGCUGUGGGAGUCACGUAGACAAAUACUUUGGAGUUUGGAGACCUGUUCAGUUUAUCCCAAGUGUGGAGUGUGCGCUUCCGGGCUUGUUAAUGAUUACUCUGAAUAGUGCUUCUUGAGAGCGUUGGCAGCCGAGUCUUUGUCUCUUUUCUCUGAUUGCAGCGAGAGCAGGUGGUACUCUCUGGCACGGUGAGAAGCAGCGCAUGCUUCUUUCCCGUUUCAGAUGGGCUCCACAACUCAGAGGAGAGCCCUCAUCGCUCGGUCCUCCCUCUGCGGAGCAGGCACCGGCCCAUCUUCCUCUCAGUGGAUAACAACCCUCUUUUCCUGUUGCUAGAAGACUGGGGACAUCUUUGGCUGGAAUAGACCACUGUGGGGAGAAGGCUCUUAGGAGAGUGGUCCAUGAGGAAGACCUAUCAUGAGAAGAAAGGAUCAAAUCAGGCUUCGUGGCAAGUACCUUGGCUCACCAAGGCAUGUUGGCUGUUCCUGUAGCAGAGACUCUAGAAGAAAAAGCACCUAUACAGUGCCACUGAAUGGAUAUUCUUGGAUGUGUGCACUUCAUAGUUAUGAUGGUUGUGAGCCACCACGUGAUUGGCUGCUGGGAUUUGAACUCAGGACCUCUGGAAGAGCAGUCAGUGCUCUUAACCACGGAGCCAUCUCUCCAGCCCCCUCCUGCCUCUUCUUGAGUACUAGGAUCUCGGAUUGGUGCUUCUAUCCCUAGGACAGAUAUUGCCAUGUAUGCCUGGCAGCACUUGCACUUGCUACCCUCUUGCCUCCUCCAUUUGAGUGCUGGAAAAACAGGCAGGAGCCCCCACAUCUGGCUGCUGUGCCCGGCUUGUUGAUGGAGGAGUGUUCUUAGUGAUCCUGUUGGGUUUGAAGCUGCCUGCUUCUCUGAGGAAAUCAAGUUACAAACUUGCUUCAUAGCUCUGCAUAGCACUUCGUUGUUUUUCUUUUUUAUCGCGGGUGGAAACAACCUUGAAAAUGGCAGAGUCACAAAGAGAAAAGCGCACCUGGGCCAUUAGACCUGGGGCAGCUUUGUGUCUCAGGCUUCUCAGGAUGGUUUCUGAAGUCUGAAAGAUCCGGAUUCUGGACUAGCACAGUUUAAAGCCAGACGUCGUGUGUUAGAGGAGACACAGCAUCACCAUCCGGACUUCAUCCUUCUUCAGAAGAAUUGAUACUUAAGACACGGUUUCUAAAUAAUGCUUGUAAUGUACGUUAUUUUAUUUUAUUCUAUUUUAUUUUUCGGCCAGGAGGAAUUCUACAAUUUUUAAUUUUAGAUUUCAAGCUGUUUUGUGGAAGCCAGUGUGUGCUUCUGUCCAGUUUGCGGACACCUCGGCUGGUGUUUGCAGCUCUCAGGAUCAUAUUCGCCACUCUUACUUUCUAAGUGAGGAAGCUAAAGCUGGAACAGAGCGGUGUGAACAGCAAAACUAUCGAUCAGGCCUGGCAUUGCGAACGCUAGUGAGCAUACUCUUACUCACUCUCUAGCAUCAGAUUAUUAGAGGGGAUCAAGACAGACAGGCGGCCAGAAGCCACCUUGUUAAAUACUAAAGCCUAGACUGCCAGCAGCCAAGAGCUCGUGAAACAUCUUCAAAGCCAGAAGUCCCACACGCAUUUUUGAAAGGUUGCCUGUGGUUUCCUGUAAACAACUGUAUGUUAAAUGGCUCCACAAAGGAAGGCCUUAUUAAGAAUAAACGAUUUGAAGAAGGAUGAUGUGGGCGGCGACAUAAUCACAAUUUUUCUAGAGGGCUUGAUUUGUCAAUGCGUUGGUUAAUUUUGCAACCACAUUCAACUGAAACUUCGUGUCUGGGCUUCCUACCACAGCAUAUCUUCCAUGAGGCUGCCUGAGAGUAGGCUGCCUGAGAGUAGGGAGAUACCCCAACCCAGCAGCAAGACCUGUGUUUGCAGCAUGACCUUAUUGGGUUGAGCCCUGAUGCUGCCCCCUCCACCCCCUCCCCUUGGGUGUAUGUGAGGAUUAAAACUAUUAUUCAUAUUUGAAUAUUAACAUGAGUAACUCAAUUUUUUUCCCUCUACUUAAUCCAGUGUAUUUUAGGUAUAGUGUUAGUCUGCAGUUGUUUUCUGCUCAGGCUGAUCUGGAACUUUUCUGCACAGUUGAGGCUGGCCUUGAACUCCUGAUCCUCCUGCCUUCAGGUCCUGUGUACUGGUUAUAGGUGUAUACCACCACACCUGGCUGUCUUGUGUGUGUGUGUGUGUGUGUGUGUGUGUGUGUGUGUCUGUUUUUGUUUUGUUUUCCAACACAGUUUUUUUUUUUUUUUUUUUUUUUAUGUGUAGCCCUGAAAUUUGCUGCCCUGGAACUUGUUCUGCAGAGGGGGAUAGCCUAGAACUCAAGAGAUCCACCUUCCUCUGCCUUCCCAGUGCUGGGAUUCCAGUCAAGUGCCACCAUCCUCCCCCAACCCCCCAACCCCCUCCACCUGGCUGCCUUUCUUGCCUACUGUAUCCAUCAGUGGAGUUGUUUCUGUAUUUUGGGCUUUGGGGGUUUGGGGGUUGGGUGGGGUGGGAAAAAAUGGGACACUAGGCAGGCCUUAGGUGUGACUGGAGAUUUGGCUCAUAUUCUAGUGAUCAAAUGAAUAAUACUCCAAAACAUAUUCAAGGACUCUGUUGCUGAUGAGAUAUGUGGAAGGUAAGCACUGACUCUUGGGGUAACUUUAAAAGUCAGCAACAGGGGCUGGAGAGAUGGCUCAGUGGUUAUAAGCACUGACUCUUCUUCCAGAGGUCCUGAGUUCAUUUCCCAGCAACCGUGUGGUGGCUCACAACCAUCUGUAAUGGGAUCUGAUGGCCUCUUCUGGUGUGUCUGAAGACAACUACAGUGUACUCAUGUACAGUAAAUAAAUAACAUUAAAAAAAAAAA